rnacentral:rRNA from 1 species
UGGGGAAUCUUCCGCAAUGGACGAAAGUCUGACGGAGCAACGCCGCGUGUAUGAUGAAGGUCUUCGGAUUGUAAAGUACUGUCAUUGGGGAAGAACGGUUUUCUUGAAAAGAUUGAGAAGACAUGACGGUACCCAAGGAGGAAGCCCCGGCUAACUACGUGCCAGCAGCCGCGGUAAUACGUAGGGGGCAAGCGUUGUCCGGAAUUAUUGGGCGUAAAGGGCGCGUAGGCGGGCUUUUAAGUCCGGUGUGAAAGAUCAGGGCUCAACCCUGAGAGUGCAUCGGAAACUGGAGGCCUUGAGGACAGGAGAGGAAAGUGGAAUUCCACGUGUAGCGGUGAAAUGCGUAGAUAUGUGGAGGAACACCAGUGGCGAAGGCGACUUUCUGGACUGUAACUGACGCUGAGGCGCGAAAGCGUGGGGAGCAAAACAGGAUUAGAUACCCUGGUAGUCCACGCCGUAAACGAUGAGUGCUAGGUGUAGAGGGUAUCGACCCCCUUCU